rnacentral:rRNA from 1 species
UACGUAGGGUGCGAGCGUUGUCCGGAAUUAUUGGGCGUAAAGGGCUCGUAGGCGGUUUGUCGCGUCGGGAGUGAAAACACUGGGCUUAACUCAGUGCUUGCUUCCGAUACGGGCAGACUAGAGGUAUUCAGGGGAGAACGGAAUUCCUGGUGUAGCGGUGAAAUGCGCAGAUAUCAGGAGGAACACCGGUGGCGAAGGCGGUUCUCUGGGCCUGUACUGACGCUGAGGAACGAAAGCGUGGGGAGCGAACAGG